rnacentral:rRNA from 2 species
GGUUGACCUCGGAUCAGGUAGGACUACCCGCUGAACUUAAGCAUAU